GUCGAGCGGCGGACGGGUGAGUAAUGCCUAGGAAAUUGCCUUGAUGUGGGGGAUAACCAUUGGAAACGAUGGCUAAUACCGCAUAAUGCCUACGGGCCAAAGAGGGGGACCUUCGGGCCUCUCGCGUCAAGAUAUGCCUAGGUGGGAUUAGCUAGUUGGUGAGGUAAUGGCUCACCAAGGCGACGAUCCCUAGCUGGUCUGAGAGGAUGAUCAGCCACACUGGAACUGAGACACGGUCCAGACUCCUACGGGAGGCAGCAGUGGGGAAUAUUGCACAAUGGGCGAAAGCCUGAUGCAGCCAUGCCGCGUGUAUGAAGAAGGCCUUCGGGUUGUAAAGUACUUUCAGUUGUGAGGAAGGGGGUGUCGUUAAUAGCGGCAUCUCUUGACGUUAGCAACAGAAGAAGCACCGGCUAACUCCGUGCCAGCAGCCGCGGUAAUACGGAGGGUGCGAGCGUUAAUCGGAAUUACUGGGCGUAAAGCGCAUGCAGGUGGUUCAUUAA
rnacentral:rRNA from 1 species